rnacentral:rRNA from 1 species
UACGGGGGGGGCAAGCGUUGUUCGGAAUUACUGGGCGUAAAGGGCUCGUAGGCGGCCAACUAAGUCAGACGUGAAAUCCCCAGGCUCAACCUGGGAACUGCGUCUGAUACUGGAUGGCUUGAAUCCGGGAGAGGGAUGCAGAAUUCCAGGUGUAGCGGUGAAAUGCGUAGAUAUCUGGAGGAAUACCGGUGGCGAAGGCGGCAUCCUGGACCGGCAUUGACGCUGAGGAGCGAAAGCAUGGGGAGCGAACAGG